AUGCACCUCACGCGCCGCAGGGGGACUCUCGUUGCGUCAUCACGCAGAGGGGGGGGAGAGAGAGAGAGUCGCCUUAGCGGGAAAGAGAGGAAACGGGUCGACGGGCGCGAGGGGAAUAAGGAAGGAGAGAAAAGAAAAGACAAGCCGGCCAGCUUCCCAUUUGACAAAUAUUCUAACCGUACUUUGCCUGGAGGCUGGGGAAAGCAAACACUUUGGGAUCCUGGCAAUUCCCCCUCCCCAUGGCACGUGGACAGUUCCGUACAUGUAUUCCUGAAUUCAGUAAAUUCAACAAGCCAGACAUCUCAGCCUAAUUUUAAGUUAAAAUCAACUCCUUCAAAGACUGCACAUCAUGUACGCAAGCAAGGAAGUCAGGUAAGUGUUUUAACAGCAGAAAUUACUUCUCCCUAUUCAGAGGUUGAUCUUUAUCCAACUGCAGCUGGGUCAACUAAAUAAUCCUGUGCUUGCACUUCAUGUACUACACCUCAUCAAAAGAAUGACAGAAUGAAUGCUAAUGUAUCCUGUAGAUAAUUAAAGUCACACACAAGCUGAACUUUUUUGUACUUGCCAAACAAUGUUGGCUCUUUCUAUAUAUCAAGGCCCAGAUGUGGACUUCAUGCAGAAAUUGAAACAUUUAUAGUCAAAAGAACACAAUCACAUGAUCUCUGCUUACAUCAGAUAGACAUGGGUUAAAGGAGCAAGGCUGAUGAGGUCAUCAUGCUGUAUCAGCUACAAGAGAACUAUAAAAGACUAAUAGAAUGGGGAAGAAUGAAUGGAGCCAGGAAGCAAGAGAAAUGAAGGGGGAAGAAGUCUCUCCUCUUCUUUUAGGCAAUUAAACUUAGCCUACUAACUUCUUCCCUACUUAUUAAAUCUGCAGUUAAUAGACCACAGGAUAUGGAGACAAUCAUAUAGGACACAUAGCAAGCAAAUGGUGGUUAUAAUAUUUUCCGUUGGAGUGCCUGAGGUAGUAGUAGCAGCAGCUGAAGGGAGAAGCGGGUGGCAUGGCAGAUGAGCUAGGAAAUAAAGGUCAAUCACUGAUAAAAUAGUUCCCA
rnacentral:lncRNA from 1 species